rnacentral:rRNA from 1 species
AACGAACGCUGGCGGCGCGUUUAAGCAUGCAAGUCGGACGGGAUCCAUGGCUUCGGCUGUGGUGAGAGUGGCGAACGGGUGAGUAACACGUAGGUUAUCUGCCUUUGGGUGGGGGAUAGCCCAUGGAAACAUGGGGUAAUACCGCAUAAAGCCUUUCGGGGUUAAAGGAGCAAUUGUUCCGCCUGGGGAUGAGCCUGCGGUCCAUUAGCUUGUUGGUGUGGUAAUGGCGCACCAAGGCGACGAUGGAUAGCCGGCCUGAGAGGGUGAACGGCCACACUGGGACUGAGACACGGCCCAGACUCCUACGGGAGGCAGCAGCUAAGAAUCUUCCGCAAUGGGGGAAACCCUGACGGAGCGACGCCGCGUGGACGAUGAAGGCCGGAAGGUUGUAAAGUCCUUUUCUUCGCGAAGAAUAAUGCUGGGAGUGGAAUGCCCGGCAGAUGACGUUAGCGGAGGAAUAAGCCCCGGCCAAUUACGUGCCAGCAGCCGCGGUAACACGUAUGGGGCGAGCGUUGUUCGGAAUUAUUGGGCGUAAAGGGCGUGUAGGCGGCCUGUUAAGCUUGGUGUUAAAGGCCACGGCUCAACCGUGGUUUAGCGCUGAGAACUGGCGGGCUAGAGUUCUGGAGGGGGAGCUGGAAUUCCAGGUGUAGGGGUGAAAUCUGUAGAUAUCUGGAAGAACACCGGUGGCGAAGGCGAGCUCCUGGCCAUGGACUGACGCUGAGGCGCGAAAGCGUGGGGAGCGAACAGGAUUAGAUACCCUGGUAGUCCACGCUGUAAACGAUGUGCACUGGGCGUAGGGGGCAUUGGGUUCUCUGUGCCGUAGCUAACGCGUU